rnacentral:lncRNA from 10 species
AUUUCCAGCGUAUCCCCUGUCCCCACACGUGCACAGCCUCCCCCUUUAAUUUAACAACAGCCCCCACCAGAGUGGUACAUUUGUUACAACUGAUGAAACUUUUCCUGAAUGUCAGUUACUUGGAACGUAGUCUUUACCAAUGUGGCGAAGCGUGGGGGAUCCAAUCCAGGAUACCAUAUUAUUUCAUGCUACGUCUGAAAGUUCUAAAACAGAGCACAAAGAAGGCUCACUAAGUACGGCCUUACCACCAGCCAUUGUUUUUGGUCAGAGAUGAUGAUGCAUUCUUGGAUGGACUAGAUUUUCAGCAAAGGAGCUGCUUUUCACAUAUGAUAUGUAAGAAAUAAAUACGAAGAUGUCAUAAAAAAUAAACUUUCUACUUGUGUGAAAG